rnacentral:rRNA from 1 species
GGAGCAACCCGGGGAACUGAAACAUCUAAGUACCCGGAGGAGAAGAAAACAACGGUGAUUCCGUUAGUAGUGGCGAGCGAACGCGGAGUAGCCCAAACCCAAUUUGUUACGGCAAAUUGGGGGUAAUAGGACCACGAUAUUUGAUGCUUAAUGAAUUAGAAUCUACUGGAAAGUAGAACCAUAGAGGGUGAUAGUCCCGUAUAGGUAAGUUAAGUUAUUGAUAGUGGUAUCCUGAGUAGUGCGGGGCACGUGAAACCUUGCAUGAAUUUGCCGGGACCAUCCGGUAAGGCUAAAUACUCCUGAGAGACCGAUAGUGAACUAGUACCGUGAGGGAAAGGUGAAAAGAACCCUGAAUAAGGGAGUGAAAUAGAUCCUGAAACCAUACGCUUACAAGCGGUCGGAGCCAGACUUGUCUGGUGACGGCGUGCCUUUUGCAUAAUGAGCCUACGAGUUACCGUUGCUAGCAUGGUUAAUCGAUUCAGUCGAGGAUCCGAAGCGAAAGCGAGUCUGAAUAGGGCGACAAAGUUAGUAGUGGUAGACGCGAAACCGUGUGAUCUACCCAUGAGCAGGUUGAAGCUUUGUUAACC